ACAGAAGCUGUGGAAGGCGCCAUCCUGCCUGCCACAGGAAGGGCCUUGGACUGAGAGGACCGGAGCUGACUGGGGAUUAUUCAAAGCCAAAAGCCAACAGAGCCCCCAUGGAGAAGUGGAGGAUGCUCAGAUACUGCUAUGGAGCCCUGAGAAGUGAAAUGGGUCCAAGCCCUUGCCCAGGAUAGAGCGCUCCAAGCGCAUCCUCCGGGGACCCUUUUAAUCAGUGAAUUGUUCACCUCUCACUGUUUCUUCCCAGCAGAGCUAAGAGACUUCUAGAGCCUCUUGUGGAUGGUCAGCGAUAGCCCUGGAAGUUUUUGCAGAAGGGGUUUGCUGGGUGGCAGUGGAACACAGGCAGUGGACCCCUCUACUACUCUACUGUUCCAGAACACAGAAGCCUUUCAUUGAGAGUGUUCAGCUCUUCCCAUUGCUCAAGAUGCUUGUACCCGUGAUGCUUCUUUUCUCUGCUUAGGUCACAAUAUGUGGAGCUGACAAGGUUCCCCUAUUAUCAGUGACAAUGGUGGAAUGUGGAGGUGAAGUUAACACCUUCGUGGCUACAGAGUUUCCUUAGCAGAGCUGUGGAGUGUGACAAUGGUGUUUGUGUCUAAACUAUCAAACGCCAUUAUCACACUAAAUAGCUACUGCUAGGCAAUCCUUCCCUCGAUAAAUGUCUUGGCAUCGUUUGCUUUGAGCAAGAAGGUUCAUCUGAUAUCAGUCUUCUCAAUCUUGUGUACUUACUGAAUAAAGUCUGGCUCUUUUGCACUCAUAACCAAUAUGGUUAGCUGAACCCUGCCUCUCACAUGCUGUUGUUACAUACCUUAGCUGGUGAUUAAUUUUCUUGUUUUCCCAAGUCAAUAAAAAGAUUGCAGACCAGG
ensembl:lncRNA MIR122HG MIR122 host gene